rnacentral:lncRNA from 1 species
GAAAAAUGAAAUAAAUAUGGUGGGUAAUAUGUUAACAAAUCUUGUGGAAAAAAGAAAAAAAAAGAAAGAGAUAGUAAAACUAGGUGUAGGUUACGACAACAAUGGAGGAAAGGAAAAAAAUUAAAAUUCAAGAGAAAGAGAGGAGGAAAGGAACAACUAGGGCAACGAGGAGGAUGAUUAAAGGCUGAUUAUUAGUGAAAAAUUAAUAUUUAUAGCUAGGUUAACUAGGUUUGGAUGGGCCAUACAUUAAAACAAGGGGUUUUUGUCAAAA